UAAAACGAUAUAUUCGAUAUUAACUAAAAUACCAAAAUAUAUGGACAAUACUGUCGAUCAGAAUGAAUUUGAUCCACUGAAAGAUAAUUAUUACCAAUUUUUUUCUAUAGACAAAGAUGCUAACCAAAAUGAAAUAAAUUCUGCUUAUAGAAGAUUAAGUAAGAUUUAUCACCCUGAUCGACAUGAAGAUUCUUACAAAAAGGAACAAGCAUCUAUUAUUUUUAACAAGGUGAAUAAAAUUCAUGGGGUUUUAAGUGAUUCUCAAAAGAGGGCAAUUUAUGAUACUAUUGGGGAAAAGGGACUUGUUAUUGGUGGAUGGGAGUUAAUUGAAAAAUUUAAAACAUCUGAAGAUAUAAGAAAAGAGUUUGAAAGAAUGAGUGCUAUUGAAAUGGAGAAAAAAAAUCAAAUGUUGGCUAACCCUAGAGGCAAUAUUACCAUAACUUUGAAUGCUACAGAUCUCUUUUCGCCUUAUAAUUAUAAUGAUUCUUAUUUUCAAGAGUAUUCAACAUCUAAAUCAAAUAAUAUCAUUUUCAAUUUUAUUCGAGCAGCUUUCAAUGCCAUUGAUUCUAUACAUCUAAUGAGUAUGUCUAUAAAUCAAUCAGUCGAAUCUCAAUUGACCCAAAAAGAUAAUUUGCAACUAGCUAGUUCAGUAAAUACCAAAAAUGGUGCAGGAGCAGGUGAAAUAGCUACAUUGUUUAGAAGAAUACAUUCGCCAGAUAAAUGGAGUGAAAUAGAAGCUUCCUUUGGUAAUGACCUUACUAUUGGGUUCAAACAUUUUCGUUCUCUCUCAACUCGCAUGUAUAUAAAUGGCUCGAUUCUAUCAAAAAUAAUGAGUGAUGGUACAAUCUUCCCUGGAUUACAAUUAACCCUAUCUCGCCAGUUAGAUAAAUAUACGACAGGACAAUUGACAUGGAAAGCGGGUUUAUCAUCGGCCAUGGGCACUGCUUUCAUACGUCAAACGCCUAAAUCCCGAUUUGUAAUCUCGUUUCAGUUGGGAAUACCUCAUUCAUAUAUAAGUCUAUCAUAUUCGCGCCAAUUAAUAGAGGAUCUUAAAAUAAAAUCGCAAUUAAAAUUUGGUACUUUUGGAGCAAUGAUUGAAUAUGGCUGUGAACAAAGAUUGACUCAACAUACUGUAGUAGGGGCUUACAUGAGUGUGGGUGUACCAUUCGGUGUCAAUAUUACUCUCAAAAUGAACAGAGCCAAUCAAAAUUUUUCAUUCGUAACAUUGCUUUGUCAAGAAUUGCUACCUGCGCCUAUUAUCAUUGGCACCCUGGCUCCUUACCUCGCCUAUUUUACUAUUAGCUAUUUCAUCGUACAGCCCUAUAUGGCUAGACAAGAUAAAAAAAAAUUAGAUGAAGAAAAAGAAUUCUUUGCCGAUAAAUUAUUCGAAAAGAAAAAAGAGGCUGAAGCAUCGAUCGAUCUCAUGAAAGAAUCUUAUAACAAAAUUAAAACCUCUGAGAAAACUAGAAUGGGGCUGAUAAUAAAUAAAGCUUUAUACGGUAACCUGUCUUCUAUACCCGAAUACCAAUACACGAUCAGUGGGUGCGCGAAUGCCAUUGGCGAUUCUUCUGCUGCCGAUGUGACUGUUCCUUUGCAAUGCUUGGUUCAAGAUUCCCGUUUAAAUAUUCCUAAGGGGUCAAAGGCUGACCUCCCCGGAUUUUACGAUGUUUGCUAUGGCGAACCUAAAACUUUAUAUAUCAAUUACGAAUAUCGAACUAUUUUGCAUGAAGUUAUAUUCUGUGAUGAAGAUUGCAUUAAACUUCCCUCAACAGCUAACCCAUUUAGCCGAGAUUCAGUACUUCGUAAAUAUGUUUUCAACCCUCUCAAGUUGGAAAAAGUCCUUUCAUUCGUACAUGUUGUAAUGGGAAAACAUGCAAGAAUAUAAAACAACUUCGAAAUAUUAGGAAAUUGAGCCAAGGUUUCUUUACACCGAUUGAGCGCAGCAAUAGCAUGCUCAGCACACAAAACAAUCGACUUAUCAAGUUAGCUUUAACUCCAGAAUUCAUACUGAUUCCCAAUUGCCACGUUUUUACAUUUAUACAUAAU